rnacentral:rRNA from 1 species
AUUGAACGCUGGCGGCAGGCUUAACACAUGCAAGUCGAGCGAGCGGCGGACGGGUGAGUAAUGUCUGGGAAACUGCCUGAUGGAGGGGGAUAACUCCUGGAAACGGUAGCUAAUACCGCAUACCAUCAGAUGUGCCCAGAUGGGUUUGGCUAGUAGUUGGGGUAAUGGCUCACCUUGGCCACGAGCCCUAGCUGGUCUGAGGGGAUGAACAGCCACGCUGGAACGGAGACACGGUCCAGACUCCUACGGGAGGCAGCAGGGGGGAAUAUUGCACAAUGGGCGCAAGCCUGAUGCAGCCAUGUCGCGUGUGUGAAGAAGGCCUUCGGGUUGUAAAGCACUUUCAGCGAGGAGGCGUUACUCGCAGAAGAAGCACCGGCUAACUCCGUGCCAGCAGCCGCGGUAAUUC